CCAGGGCCACCACCUGCUGACCUACCCUGAGCACCCCUUUGCUCAGGCUGCUGGGGCCAGGCUUUCCAGGCCACACAGUCUUGGACAGGUCGAGUGGUGCAAAGGCAAUGCCAAGGAGGGUGCUGUGUCCCUUCUGACAGCUCACUUUUGAAUUCCUUCCUGUGUGAAGCCAAGAACCCAUGUGACCUCCAAGGCUGCUCCUCAAAUUUGGGAUUCACCCUGUGAUAUCUUUUCUGGUGAUCAUUAAGGGAUGAUGGAGACCUCUCUCUGGACCACAAAUUAAGACUGAUCAGUACCAUUUGGACCUGACAGGCCCAGGAGCCUCCGGUUAUCUUGGGACCUCAAGAGGAGAGGAAUUCACCCAACUCAUAGAGAUACUUGCAAGCACAGAUAAAUCUGAGGCUUCUUCAGGACAAGCCUUCCUGCUGUCACAGAGGAGCUACAAAGAGGAAAACUUGCCAAAAUCACUAGAUCAGUUCUGCUGGAGGUCCUCCUUACCAUUGAUGGCUUCUUAGUGUGUGAGAGAGUCCACCCCCAGCCUGACAGUGCUGCUCCGUGCCUAGGUCCCUUCAGCCCUGGGCCCCACACUGACGUUACUGAAGACAACGCCCAGGACAGAGUCAGACCCUGCUUUGGGACGUGGUUAGAGAGCCCGCCUCAGACACAGCUCUGUGGAUUCCCAGUGUGCCCUCUGCUGGAGGAAGGAGGCCCUGCUACUCACUCCCAAAGAAAGCAGCAAUCAUUUCACUGGGGAGGGAAGAAAAUGCUCCCAAAGAUGGGGUUAGGUUUGCCAUAAACAAGAUUACGUGGCAGGAAGGAGAAAACACCCAUCUCCUUCCUUCAGCCCUUGAGCUUUCCAGAGAAGGAAAGUUGGAUUGAGGUCACCAAGGGCUUGGAAGAGCUGAUUUGGGGAGAGGCAUCAACACUCAUUCCUCAGUGUCUCAGCCCUGUGUGGUCGUGGGUCUGUGUGAGGUCUCAGCAUCUGCCUCUCUCAAGGUCUCUCUUAGGGGACAGCAGGGUGAAAACUGCCGCAGGAAGGGAGGGGAAGCUGAUUUGCAUAAAGAACUUUUUCCCCUGUUGGGUCUGUAGAGCCAUGAAAAGGCCCUGAGGACAACAAACCCCAGCAGAGAAGCCUAGCCCUCGUGACUGUCCCCACCAUGGCCUGCAUGAUGCUUCUCCUUGGGCUCCUUGCUUAUGGGUCACGUCAGGGGAAGGGACUCUGCAUCCCUGGAGGGACCACACAAAGCAGGGUGCAGGUUACCCUUAUCCCCAUGACCAUAACUCUGUCUCUCUUGUUGGUUUUGGGGGUGGAUUCUCAGUCUGUGGUGACCCAGGAGCCAUCACUCAGGGUCUUCUGGAGGGACGGUCACACUCACCUGUGCCCUGAGCUCUGGCUCAGUCUCUACCAGUCACUACCCCAGCUGGUACCAGCAGACCCCAGGCCAGGCUCUACACAUGCUCAUCUGCAGCCCAAACACCUGUCCUUCUGGGGUCCCUGGUCGCUUCUCUGGCUCCAUCCUUGGGAACAAAGCUGCUCUCACCAUCACGGGAACUCAGUAGAUGAUGACUCUGAUCAUUACUGUGUGCUGUACAUGGGUAGUGGCAAUUCCAUAGUGAUUUAAACCCAUGAGGAGGUACAACUAAAACUUCUUUACAUACUUAGAAAGAUUCAGCCCUUAGAAGCAAGAGAGAAGGUGAGAGGGUGGGAAUGUCAACACCAUGAGCUGGGAGCCUCCUUGCCCCAGUGUCCUGUGCAAGGGUUCACUGCCAGGUGCCUUAUCCAGUCUCUCCCAAGGUGUGUCCAUCUCCCCAGUGUGACGCUUCCGUGAAUACGUAAACUCAGGGUGAGUCACAGAGACGCCUGUGCUCCAGGAACUCUUCUUAUUCAAAGAGAAUCAACUGACAUAUGCUAAUUCAUUAAUUUGUCCAUGGAGACCAAUUUAGUAUUUUAUUUAUCACUGAAGUAAGGGCCUUGCUGAGUGCCCUGUUAAAAAUGCAGUUCUCCAACCUAGACCUACUGAAUCAGAAACUUGUGUUGGUGCCUAGUAAUUUGUAUUUAACAAGAUGUACAUGAGAUUUUUGUUAGCAUUAAUAUUUAGGAAGAGCCUACUUUUAUUAUCAUGAAUUAUUCCUGGGGAAUCUCUGUUUAAAAUGAUCUCAGGUAAUAUUCCAUGACCGGACUCUCCUAAAUUCCCAUUCAAAACCUCCAGAAUGCUCAGAAACAGACUUAAAAUCUCAAGCCAUGGCCGAAUUUAUAACUUUAUUUCUGCAGACAAAGAUGGAAGGAAUUUCCAAAAACAUACGUUCUUAGGUGCCAGGUGUGGUGACUCAUGCCUAUAAUAACUAAUACUUUGGGAGGCUGAGGCACAAGGAUUGCUUGAGGCCAAGAGUUUGAGACCAACCUCUUCCACAUAGUGAGAUUCCAUCACUACAAAAAAAAAAAAAAAGAAAAAAAAAAGACGUAAGCCCCUUUGGGAAUUUCCAAGACCAUAAGUUUUCUUAGCGUACAUUUAGUAGCUCAUAUGAAUAUUUCUGUUAUUAGAGACCGUCUCCUGUAGGACUGGCUCCAGAAUCUCUUCUCCCUCUCACUGAGCUGACCUACCUGCAGCUCUGGUUCUUAGGAUCUUUGUAAGA